rnacentral:rRNA from 1 species
AUUGAACGCUGGCGGCAUGCCUUACACAUGCAAGUCGAACGGCAGCACGGGGCAACCUGGUGGCGAGUGGCGAACGGGUGAGUAAUGUAUCGGAACGUACCUUUCAGUGGGGGAUAACGUAGCGAAAGUUACGCUAAUACCGCAUAUUCUGUGAGCAGGAAAGCAGGGGAUCGCAAGACCUUGCGCUGAUUGAGCGGCCGAUAUCAGAUUAGCUAGUUGGUGAGGUAAAGGCUCACCAAGGCGACGAUCUGUAGCGGGUCUGAGAGGAUGAUCCGCCACACUGGAACUGAGACACGGUCCAGACUCCUAUGGGAGGCAGCAGUGGGGAAUUUUGGACAAUGGGGGCAACCCUGAUCCAGCCAUGCCGCGUGAGUGAAGAAGGCCU